rnacentral:rRNA from 1 species
GACGAACGCUGGCGGCGUGCUUAACACAUGCAAGUCGAACGCUGAAGCUCAGCUUUUGUUGGGUGGAUGAGUGGCGAACGGGUGAGUAACACGUGAGUAACCUGCCUCCUUCUUUGGGAUAACGCCCGGAAACGGGUGCUAAUACUGGAUAUUCACUGGUCUUCGCAUGGGGGUUGGUGGAAAGGGUUUUUCUGGUGGGGGAUGGGCUCGCGGCCUAUCAGCUUGUUGGUGGGGUGAUGGCCUACCAAGGCUUUGACGGGUAGCCGGCCUGAGAGGGUGACCGGUCACAUUGGGACUGAGAUACGGCCCAGACUCCUACGGGAGGCAGCAGUGGGGAAUAUGGCACAAUGGGCGCAAGCCUGAUGCAGCGACGCCGCGCGAGGGAUGGAGGCCUUCGGGUUGUGAACCUCUUUCGCUCAUGGUCAAGCCGCAACAAUGGUUGUGGUGAGGGUAGUGGGUAAAGAAGCGCCGGCUAACUACGU